rnacentral:rRNA from 1 species
CUCGCCUGCAUGAAGUCGGAAUUGCUAGUAAUCGCAGAUCAGCAUGCUGUGGUGAAUACGUUCCCGGGCCUUGUACACACCGCCCGUCACACCAUGGGAGUCGGUAACACCCAAAGUUGGUAGUCUAACCGCAAGGAGGACGCCGCCUAAGGUGGGAUUGAUGACUGGGGUGAAGUCGUAACAAGGUAUC